rnacentral:rRNA from 1 species
UACGGGGGGGGCAAGCGUUGUUCGGAUUUACUGGGCGUAAAGCGCACGUAGGCGGAUUGUUAAGUCAGGGGUGAAAUCCCGGAGCUCAACUCCGGAACUGCCUUUGAUACUGGCAAUCUUGAGGCUGGAAGAGGUUAGUGGAAUUCCCAGUGUAGAGGUGAGAUUCGUAGAUAUUGGGAAGAACACCAGUGGCGAAGGCGGCUAACUGGUCCAGAUCUGACGCUGAGGUGCGAAAGCGUGGGGAGCAAACAGG